AUUGAACGCUGGCGGCAUGCUUUACACAUGCAAGUCGAACGGUAACAGGCCUUCGGGUGCUGACGAGUGGCGAACGGGUGAGUAAUGCAUCGGAACGUACCCAGAGGUGGGGGAUAACGCAGCGAAAGCUGUGCUAAUACCGCAUGUGAUCUGAGGAUGAAAGCGGGGGACCGAGCAGCAAUGUUUGGCCUCGCGCCUUUGGAGCGGCCGAUGUCGGAUUAGCUAGUUGGUGGGGUAAAGGCCUACCAAGGCGACGAUCCGUAGCUGGUCUGAGAGGACGACCAGCCACACUGGGACUGAGACACGGCCCAGACUCCUACGGGAGGCAGCAGUGGGGAAUUUUGGACAAUGGGCGCAAGCCUGAUCCAGCAAUGCCGCGUGCGGGAAGAAGGCCUUCGGGUUGUAAACCGCUUUUGGCAGGAACGAAACGGUGUCCGCUAAUACCGGCGCUAAUGACGGUACCUGCAGAAUAAGCACCGGCUAACUACGUG
rnacentral:rRNA from 1 species